GGCUUCGUAGCUCAGCUGUUAGAGCGCUUGCGACGUAGAGGCACGGUGUUACUGUCGCUGGUUCGAAUCCAGCCGAAGCAU
rnacentral:tRNA from 1 species